AAAAAGCUCGUAGUUGGAUUUCUGUUGAGGGCGACCGGUGUACACCUCGUGUAUUAUUUGGUUCGGUCUCGGCAUCCUCUUGGGGAACGUUUCUGGACUUUAUUGGACAGGGCGAGAUUCAAGACUUUUACUUUGAGGAAAUUAGAGUGUUCACGGCAGGCAAGCACUUUGAAUACAUUAGCAUGGAAUAAUAAUAUAGGACCUUCGUUCUAUUUUGUUGGUUUCUAGAACUUAGGUAAUGAUUAAUAGGGACAAUUGGGGGCAUUCGUAUUAACGCGUCAGAGGUGGAAUUCUUGGAUUGCGUUACGACGAACUACUGCGAAAGCAUUUGCCAAAGAUGUUUUCAUUGAUCAAGAACGAAAGUAUGGGGAUCGAAGACGCUUAGAUACCGUCGUAGUCUAUACCAUAAACUAUGCCAACUAGAGAUUGGUGGGGUUCUCCUAUUUGGCUCCAUCAGCAUCUUAUGAGAAAUCAAAGCAUUUGGGUUCCGGGGGGAGUAUGUCGCAAGGCUGAAACUUAAAGGAAUUGACGGAAGGGCACCACAAGUUGUGGAUCCUGUGGCUUAAUUUGACUCAACACGGGAAAACUUACCAGGUCCAGACAUAGCAAGGAUUGACAGAUUGAUAGCUCUUUCUUGAUCCUAUGGGUGGUGGUGCAUG
rnacentral:rRNA from 1 species